rnacentral:rRNA from 2 species
CGAACGAUGAAACUUUACUGACUUCUUCGGAAAGAUUAAAGCGGAUUAGUGGCGGACGGGUGAGUAACACGUGAGUAACCUGCCUUACACAAGGGGAUAGCCGUUGGAAACGACGAAUAAUACCCUAUGAAACUAUCACUUCGCAUGAAGCGAUAGUCAAAGUGUUAGCGGUGUAAGAUGGACUUGCGUCUGAUUAGCUAGUUGGUGAGAAAAAAGCCCACCAAGGCAACGAUCAGUAGCCGGCUUGAGAGAGUGUACGGCCACAUUGGGACUGAGACACGGCCCAGACUCCUACGGGAGGCAGCAGUGGGGAAUUUUGCACAAUGGGGGAAACCCUAAUGCAGCGACGCCGCGUGAUUUAGAAGGCCUUCGGGUUGUAAAAAUCUUUUGUAUAGGAAGAAAAUGACAGUACUAUACGAAUAAGGUCCGGCUAAUUACGUGCCAGCGGCCGCGGUAAUACGUAAGGACCGAGCGUUGUCCGGAAUCAUUGGGCGUAAAGGGUACGUAGGCGGGUCACUAAGUUAGAAGUCAAAGGCUAUAGCUCAACUAUAGUAAGCUUCUAAAACUGGAGACCUUGAGUAAUGGAAGGGAAAGUGGAAUUCCUAGUGUAGCGGUGGAAUGCGCAGAUAUUAGGAGGAAUACCGGUGGCGAAGGCGACUUUCUGGCCAUUAACUGACGCUGAGGUACGAAAGCGUGGGUAGC